GCAUAUCAAUAAGCGGAGGAAAAGAAACCAACAGGGAUUGCCCUAGUAACGGCGAGUGAAGCGGCAACAGCUCAAAUUUGAAAUCUGGCUCUCGGGCCCGAGUUGUAAUUUGUAGAGGAUGCUUUUGAUGCGGUGCCUUCCGAGUUCCCUGGAACGGGACGCCAUAGAGGGUGAGAGCCCCGUCUGGUUGGAUGCCAAAUCUCUGUAAAGCUCCUUCGACGAGUCGAGUAGUUUGGGAAUGCUGCUCUAAAUGGGAGGUAUAUGUCUUCUAAAGCUAAAUACCGGCCAGAGACCGAUAGCGCACAAGUAGAGUGAUCGAAAGAUGAAAAGCACUUUGAAAAGAGAGUUAAAAAGUACGUGAAAUUGUUGAAAGGGAAGCGUUUAUGACCAGACUUGGGCUUGGUUAAUCAUCUGGGGUUCUCCCCAGUGCACUUUUCCAGUCCAGGCCAGCAUCAGUUUUCGCCGGGGGAUAAAGGCUUCGGGAAUGUGGCUCUCUCCGGGGAGUGUUAUAGCCCGUUGCGUAAUACCCUGGCGGGGACUGAGGUUCGCGCAUCUGCAAGGAUGCUGGCGUAAUGGUCAUCAACGACCCGUCUUGAAACACGGACCAAGGAGUCGUCUUCGUAUGCGAGUGUUCGGGUGUCAAACCCCUACGCGUAAUGAAAGUGAACGCAGGUGAGAGCUUCGGCGCAUCAUCGACCGAUCCUGAUGUUCUCGGAUGGAUUUGAGUAAGAGCAUACGGGGCCGGACCCGAAAGAAGGUGAACUAUGCCUGUGUAGGGUGAAGCCAGAGGAAACUCUGGUGGAGGCUCGCAGCGGUUCUGACGUGCAAAUCGAUCGUCAAACAUGGGCAUGGGGGCGAAAGACUAAUCGAACCUUCUAGUAGCUGGGUUCCGCCGAA
rnacentral:rRNA from 1 species